UGAGGAAUAUUGGACAAUGGGCGCAAGCCUGAUCCAGCCAUGCCGCGUGCAGGAUGACGGUCCUAUGGAUUGUAAACUGCUUUUGUACGAGAAGAAACACUCCUACGUGUAGGAGCUUGACGGUAUCGUAAGAAUAAGGAUCGGCUAACUCCGUG
rnacentral:rRNA from 1 species